rnacentral:ncRNA from 1 species
CAUUGGGUGCCCUUUUAGGGAGAAUAGGGAAUGGAGUGAGAGUCUCCAGCGGUCCCGCCACUGUAAUGGGGAGUUUCAUUGGAAAUGCCACUGGAGUAUACCUCUGGGAAGGGCUGAUGAAGUGAUGAUCCUAAGCCAGGAGACCUGCCUGUUUGCUU